ACCACCGAGCAGGAAAAUCUCUACAACAAGAGUCCAUGGUUUUAAAUUUCACCUCAAAUACAGCAAUCCGCCAAUUCACUGCGCAUCUCCAGCUGUCUGUCUACAGCAAUAAUCCACGUGGGGAAAAGGUCCAGACACCCAUUCCUCUCACCUGAUGACUUGGGAGAGGUGGGCUACACAUCCUUCCCAUCCGCCAUCAUGUUCUGCCUCCCACUGAAUGUUUUUAAUUGGCUUGUCAAAGAUCAAAUAACACAGAUGCAGAGGAAGGCUGGACUCUGAUGGGGCCCUGUUCAGAGUGCAAUGAUGCCCUCCACUGCCCACCACGUUAUCUUGACAAAGGUGGAAACAAAGGAGAAAGGAAGGCAUGAAGAUUGUCUUGGUGGAACGCCGAGAGAUUCUAAUCAGUGAGGGAUGAAGAAAAUGCAGGUUUUGAUUUCAGCUAUCAAAAAAAAGGUGCACUUCUUACGUCUUCUCUCCUCUCCCUAAAGUAAGUAUCUAGGGGGUCUUUUCGGAAAUUCUCUUAAAACAGGUGCUUAGCAUAGCACAGAAGGUGGCAGAAAGGCCAGGUGAAUUAAGUUCAGUCACUGCAUUGGCGACCACUACCCUACCCCUGGACUCCAUGUGGAGGGAAGUUUCAGAAAUAAACUGGGGAAAACCACACAUGGGAACUUGUCCCCAGACCAGUGUCCCUGUUGGGCAAUCCAGUUGAGGGGUUGAGGGCAAACUUCUCUUUGGUGCAGUGAGUCCCUGAAGCCUGAAUUCUAGGAAAGCCUAAGGUCUAGCCAAUUUAGGAAAGUUUAGCUUACAUCAGUGUGUCCCUAACUUGCCUGAAUCACAGCCACCUUGGGGAGCAGGAUUGUUGAAAAUAUUGAUUCCCAGAGACCGUUUACCUGGAUAUUCUGACUUAGUUGAUCUGGACCAAAUAAUAAAAAUCCAUAUUCUAUGAAGUGGUCUGAAUGUGCCUCAUGAUUGGGCCUAAGUUUAUUUAUCUAUUCUCUUAAUAAUCUUCUAUUGAUAACUAAUUUUGUGCAAGUUGGUGUCCUAGAGUCUAAGAGGACAGGGCAGAAAUAGACAUGGAUCCCACCUUCCAAGAGUCUGCAAUUGAGAAGUCCAUGGAGCUUCCAGAAAGCUGCUGCCCUCCUCUUGUCUUAGGCUUUUUUACCAUGAAGUGAUGCUGAUGGAUGGACAAAUAUUACUGGUGCAUUCAGUAACCAGCUAGUCAGGGAGUGCCUGCCGAGUGUUUGUGUAAGAUACUGUUCUGUGUAUCAGAGCUGCUCCUUCAGUUCAGCUUGCGUAGUAAUGACUGUGAAGAACACAGCCCCAAGCCUGUAUAAUAAAAUGAUGCGACUACAAAAAUCACGUUUAUCACCUGCUUAUUAUGUGCCAGCUCUACGCUACACCAUUUUUCUUUAGGCUCCUUGAAAUUAAGGAUCAUUUUGCUUAUGUUUUUCA